GGUGGGGCAUGCAGGUAGGCUGCAGAAGACAAUACAGUGGUAUAGAACAACACGGGUGGGGCAUGCAGGUAGGCUGUAAAAGACAAUACAGUGGUAUAGAACAACACGGGUGGGGCAUGCAGGUGGGCUGCAGAAGACAAUACAGUGGUAUAGAACAACACGGGUGGGGCAUGCAGGUGGGCUGCAGAAGACAAUACAGUGGUAUAGAACAACACGGGUGGGGCAUGCAGGUGGGCUGCAGAAGACAAUACAGUGGUAUAGAACAACACGGGUGGGGCAUGCAGGUAGGCUGCAGAAGACAAUACAGUGGUAUAGAACAACACGGGUGGGGCAUGCAGGUAGGCUGCAGAAGACAAUACAGUGGUAUAGAACAACAUGGGUGGGGAAUGCAGGUAGGCUGCAGAAGACAAUACAGUGGUAUAGAACAACACGGGUGGGGCAUGCAGGUAGGCUGCAGAAG
ensembl:lncRNA